AUCCUCAACAGAUUGUCUGUAGCCUCACAGUAAGAAGCCACUUGAAUUCUAGAAGCACAGGCACCUACUUUUUGCUUACUCAUGUUAUUUUUAGAUACCACGGUGAGAUAGCCUUUGAAACAAAUCCUGUUCUCAGCAUUCAUUGUUGGUGAUGGCUGUUCCUUGGAACAUCAUUUGCAUAGAGAGGAGACUUUGCAUAGCCAGCACAUGCUUCAGUGCUCUGGUAGUGUUUAUAGCCUUGAGUUUAACACUUCACGACUGAGAGCUGUCCUUCAUGACAACAGAACCCACAACAACCAUGACUUUUAUCACCAUCUUCAUCUGGACACUUGCCCUCUGUCUCCAAGAGUCAAGAGGCCAGGUCACAGUGACCCAGACUCCUGCAGUGAAAGCUGUUUCAGUGGGUCACUCAGUCAGUCUCAGCUGUAAGACCAGCAGUGCUGUACACAUUAACAGCAAUGGACACUAUUUGCACUGGUAUCAACAGAAACCUGGAGGAGGUCCUAAACUCCUUAUUUACUAUGCUAAAACCCUUCAGUCUGGGACUCCAUCUAGAUUCAGUGGCAGUGGAUCUGGGAGUGACUUCACUCUGACCAUCAGUGAAUUCCAGGCUGAAGAUGCAGGAGAUUACUACUGUCAGAGUUUCCACCUUCCCAACAGUGUCUGGGUGUUCACACAGUGAUACAGAGCUGUACAAAAACCUCCCUCAGUCAGACUGCACAGUGACAGUACUGAUACAGCUGGGACCUACUGCAGGUGCUGAGGGGGAAGAGACAGUGACAUGGAACACUGAUCAGUAGAGGAGGUCAACUUUGAAAAUGGUUAGAAAGUAUCAUGCAAAUCACAUGUUCUCCCAACGUCAUCAUCGUCAUCAUCAUCGUCAUCAUGGUUGUAACUUGUUAUAUUGGACAUGAACUGAAAGUGUAUAUACAGUAAAAGUUAUUUGUAGUUUUGGAAGAUAAUUCCAGUCCAUAGUAGAGUAAGAUGUACAGAAGUAAGAGGAAAAGUAUCAGCCCCCCAAACCAUUUCCCUACAUGCACUUCACAAUCAGUUAUUGAUGUGAUCAUCUAGCAUGUAUUAACCCUUUUCAUGAGCUGUUAGAUCUGUGAAUGAGACAUGAUGCUGGGCUCAAACAUGACACAUUGAUGUAGAGACAUACACUACACACUAUUAUCAGAAAGUAUCAUUCCAUUUUAUAUAUAUUCUGGCCCAGUCCAGGGUACAUCUGGCCCAGUCCAGGGUAUUUUAGGCAGUAAAACUGGUAGACUGGUAGCUGUGGGAGUGAAACAGAUUUACAUAGACAUGGCUGGUUGGUCCUGCUUGUCCCAGAAUAGAGCAGAACUGUCACCAGAUGUUCACUCUGUCCCCAGGGGGUUGGAGGUAGAGAAGACCAGGGAAAAUGUAAUGGAAAAGCGUAGACCACACAUUGUUGAAAACCAUUGAAAAAAUAUCUAAUUUAAUAAAAUCAUAUUAGGAAUUAAACAUUACAAAUAUACAGUUGAUGUCGGAAGUUUACAGACACCUUAGCCAAAUACAUUUAAACACAUUUUUUCACAAUUCCUGACAUUUAAUCCUAGUAAAAAUGCCAUGUC